CGCUGGCGGCAUGCCUAACACAUGCAAGUCGAACGAGAAGGCACCUUCGGGUGCUGGACAGUGGCGCACGGGUGAGUAACGCGUGGGGACCUACCUUUUAGUACGGAACAACAGUUGGAAACGGCUGCUAAUACCGUAUGUGCCCAACCUAUUAAUUUAGGGGGGGGAAAGAUUUAUCGCUAAAAGAUGGACCCCCGUUGGAUUAGAUAGUUGGUGAGGUAAUGGCUCACCAAGUCAGCGAUCCAUAGCUGGUUUGAGAAGAUGAUCAGCCACAUUGGGACUGAGACACGGCCCAGACUCCUACGGGAGGCAGCAGUGGGGAAUAUUGCACAAUGGGCGCAAGCCUGAUGCAGCAAUGCCGCGUGAGUGAAGACGGCCUUAGGGUUGUAAAACUCUUUCGCCAGGGAAGAUAAUGACUGUACCUGGUAAAGAAGUCCCGGCUAACUCCGUGCCAGCAGCCGCGGUAAUACGGAGGGGACUAGCGUUGUUCGGAAUUACUGGGCGUAAAGAGUUCGUAGGCGGACUGACAAGUAAGAGGUGAAAUCCCAGGGCUCAACCCUGGAACUGCCUUUUAAACUGUUAGUCUAGAGACCGGAAGAGGUUAGGGGAAUACCUAGUGUAGAGGUGAAAUUC
rnacentral:rRNA from 1 species